rnacentral:piRNA from 1 species
UGAUACCAAGUGUUUAGGAAACAUGGAC